AGCGGAACGAGUUAUCUGAACCUUCGGGGGACGAUAACGGCGUCGAGCGGCGGACGGGUGAGUAAUGCCUAGGAAAUUGCCCUGAUGUGGGGGAUAACCAUUGGAAACGAUGGCUAAUACCGCAUAAUACCUACGGGUCAAAGAGGGGGACCUUCGGGCCUCUCGCGUCAGGAUAUGCCUAGGUGGGAUUAGCUAGUUGGUGAGGUAAUGGCUCACCAAGGCGACGAUCCCUAGCUGGUCUGAGAGGAUGAUCAGCCACACUGGAACUGAGACACGGUCCAGACUCCUACGGGAGGCAGCAGUGGGGAAUAUUGCACAAUGGGCGCAAGCCUGAUGCAGCCAUGCCGCGUGUGUGAAGAAGGCCUUCGGGUUGUAAAGCACUUUCAGUCGUGAGGAAGGUGGUGUAGUUAAUAGCUGCAUUAUUUGACGUUAGCGACAGAAGAAGCACCGGCUAACUCCGUGCCAGCAGCCGCGGUAAUACGGAGGGUGCGAGCGUUAAUCGGAAUUACUGGGCGUAAAGCGCAUGCAGGUGGUUUGUUAAGUCAGAUGUGAAAGCCCGGGGCUCAACCUCGGAAUAGCAUUUGAAACUGGCAGACUAGAGUACUGUAGAGGGGGGUAGAAUUUCAGGUGUAGCGGUGAAAUGCGUAGAGAUCUGAAGGAAUACCGGUGGCGAAGGCGGCCCCCUGGACAGAUACUGACACUCAGAUGCGAAAGCGUGGGGAGCAAACAGGAUUAGAUACCCUGGUAGUCCACGCCGUAAACGAUGUCUACUUGGAGGUUGUGGCCUUGAGCCGUGGCUUUCGGAGCUAACGCGUUAAGUAGACCGCCUGGGGAGUACGGUCGCAAGAUUAAAACUC
rnacentral:rRNA from 1 species